GACGAAGAACGUAGCGAAAUGCGAUAAGUAAUGUGAAUUGCAGAAUUCAGUGAAUCAUCGAAUCUUUGAACGCACAUUGCGCCCGCCAGUAUUCUGGCGGGCAUGCCUGUCUGAGCGUCAUUUCAACCCUCAUGCCCCUAGGGCGUGGUGUUGGGGAUCGGCCAAAGCCCGCGAGGGACGGCCGGCCCCUAAAUCUAGUGGCGGACCCGUCGUGGCCUCCUCUGCGAAGUAGUGAUAUUCCGCAUCGGAGAGCGAUGAGCCCCUGCCGUUAAACCCCCAACUUUCCAAGGUUGACCUCAGAUCAGGUAGGAAUACCCGCUGAACUUAAGCAUAUCAAUAAGCGGAGGA
rnacentral:misc_RNA from 1 species